ensembl:lncRNA
CAUGUCUAAUAUGUUAAUUCAGCCAUGUGAAAGGAUGAAAGACUUAAAAUACAUGUGAGGGGAUUAUUUUAUGUUUGCAGUAGGCUAUGGGGCUGUUUGUAGCUGGGGAAUAUGAUAGAGUGAAUGAGAAGUGGCAUAUUGAGCUCAGCUGCUUCAACAAAUGCACGUGUAAAUAACAGUGGUGGAUUAAGGACUUAGUUUUAAGGAGUACAAAUGUAGAGCUCUAAGGAAGUUAAAGAGCUAAACAGAGGAAAACUAAAUUAAAAUGGUAAAAUCGGAGAGGAAAGGAGGAGAAAGGAAAAGGAAAAACAAAAAAAAACCCCAAAAAUGGAAAUUAUGGAGUAGACAUAAAAACAGAGGAGAUCACCAGGAAGAAAACAAAAACAAAGACUGGGCUUUCAGAUGGUGAUUGUGAAAUGAAAAAGCUUCGCUGGAACCUAAAGCAGUCACUUGAGUUCGUCUCCCCUGGAGAAGCCUGUAAAGCCAGCACGGCGUACCCAGAGAUACGGAAAACGGUGAGUGUCGCUCUGCGUAAUCUGUUUUCUGUCAUUUGAUGAAGGUCAUGACUUUGAUAUUUUCCACCAGACUGGCCCGAUUUGGGUGCCAGGCUGUUUGUUUGUUUACAGAUGGAGAAAUGUUUCCGACAUCUGUCUGCAGCAUUCUCCCAGCAGCUACCUCAUGUUUCUUGCAACUUCCCAGCCUUGCCCACGGCCUGUUCUUGGAAGGAAGGAACAUCUCUUGGGUAACCUGAAAACAAAACAAAGUAGCAGAAAACUUUAUUUAACCUCCAGCUAAUUUCCUAUCCGGACUAAAUUUAGCGGGUUGGAUUUUGUUUGGUGGAUGUGCUUCCCAACACAGUGAAUUCAGAGGGAUGCUGCCAUUCCCCUAAAGGAACUGUUGUAGUGCUCUGCUUAAAACUGGCUGAUUUAAUUCCACAUCACAGCAUCAAUUUUUAAGGCAAAACGUCACUUUCUGUUUGAACACGGCGGCACAGGGGUCUGGGGAAGCUGAUGGGUGAAUUCUGCUCCCUGGAAAAGCCCAGCCACCCACAUGGCAAACAGCUGCUGCCUUCCAGUCACCUCUGCCUCUCCAGGAGCCAGCCAGAGCACAGGGGGAUAAAAACAUUAUCAUGAAAGCUUCUCCGCGCGUGUUUUGAAACAGACAGUCCUUAAUUGAAGGAAGAUCAAGUCGGGGACCAGCCCAAAACACUUAGAUUAUUUUUCCAUGAGUCAAGGGUUAUAUUCAAAACAAAAAUUAGCCUACAAAUACCAAGGCCAGGCUGGUGCACUGAGCAUUUCCCAGCACAGGUCACUGCUGCCAGCCUCCUGCUACAGAGGAAAAACCAUCUGACAAACUACUUGGAAAGUUUUUAAAAACUUUAUUCACUCUGUCAGUCUUUGCCUUUCUAAAGCCUUGAAUUUCAGGGCCUGCAGUUAUUUGCACUGCCAUCAGCUUGAGGUGUAGAAAUUGUGGAAGGAGCAAAGGAUAAGAGGAUAAAAGGAUAAAAAAUACAUUUAGAAACUCUAAAACUGACAGCACAGCUUCUGCUGUGUGUUUGGGGCAGCUGGAGACCAGAACGAGGUGCUUCUCUUACCUAACUGAGAAUUGCAUCGUCCUCGUGGUGAGAAUCUUACCAGGUUACCAAACUGCCACAGAAACCAUGACUAAGAAGUGUCUGCUCCUCAAUCCUGAGAUAGUGGAGGAAGAAGAGGAAGGGAAGAAAUAAUUUUUAAGCAAGUGAAUUAAAAAAGAAAAAAUCACAAGAACUCAUAUGAAUGAAAACAGCACCUUUAUUAAAGCAGGGCUUGAAGUUAAUGUUUGAGCAGAGACUGUCUUUGAUCCCAUCAAAGUGAAAUGAUUGAAAGGGAAUGGCAAAUGCACCUGCAGACUGGCUGGAAAAGGUGAUUUCAGGAUACUUCCCUGCAUCACAUCCCUCCAACCCAGCCUCAGCCCCAUGCACACAGAGCUUCCUUCUGUGGCUGAUUGGUUUUCCAGCCUGGCAUCCAAGGUCCCUGUCCUGUUACAAGCCAGAAUCUGAAUGCUUGAAAUGACAUAAAAACACUCUGUGUGCUCAUAAAUGCAGUGGCAGAGGCUGCAGCUGUGUUUUCCUGCUGUGCUGGGAGGAGCAGCACCUGGGAAGGGGCAUCUUGCUCUUGACAGAUCUUUUUUUCUUUUUCUUUUUUUUUUUCCUUGUCUGUGGGCAGAAAAUAAAAUUAAAUUGCAUAAACCA